UACAGAGGGUGCGAGCGUUGUCCGGAAUCACUGGGCGUAAAGGGCGCGUAGGUGGCGACCCAAGUCGAUGGUGAAAGCUCGCCGCUCAACGGCGAGUCGGCCACCGAUACUGGGUUGCUGGAGCACUGUAGAGGCAGAUGGAAUUCCGGGUGUAGCGGUGGAAUGCGUAGAGAUCCGGAGGAAGACCGGUGGCGAAGGCGGUCUGCUGGGCAGUUUCUGACACUGAGGCGCGACAGCGUGGGGAGCAAACAGG
rnacentral:rRNA from 1 species